CGCGGGAUAGUGGACCGGCGCCACGGUGGGCUCAUAACCCGCAGAACGGAGUUCGACUCUCCGUCCCGCUA
rnacentral:tRNA from 1 species